CCUACGGGAGGCAGCAGUGGGGGAUAUUGCACAAUGGGGGAAACCCUGAUGCAGCGACGCCGCGUGUGGGAAGACGGUCCUCUGGAUUGUAAACCACUGUCCCCAGGGACGAAGAUGACGGUACCUGGGGAGGAAGCUCCGGCUAACUACGUGCCAGCAGCCGCGGUAAUACGUAGGGGGCGAGCGUUGUCCGGAAUUACUGGGUGUAAAGGGAGCGUAGGCGGGACUGCAAGUUGGGUGUCAAAUCUACGGGCUCAACCGGUAGCCGCACUGAAAACUGCAGUUCUUGAGUGAAGUAGAGGCAGGCGGAAUUCCUAGUGUAGCGGUGAAAUGCGUAGAUAUUAGGAGGAACACCAGUGGCGAAGGCGGCCUGCUGGGCUUUUACUGACGCUGAGGCUCGAAAGUGUGGGGAGCAAACAGGAUUAGAUACCCCAGUAGUC
rnacentral:rRNA from 1 species